GAGCGCGAGCCGUACCAGCUACAGCAGGCUGCCCGAACCCCAUGCUGGUUUGCUUUGGAGAGCGGAGAGGCAAUCAAUGUGUGCUCACAAAAGGGGAAGAGCAUUCAGAGAGCCAACUGUUCCCUCAGGCCAUGGGGCAGGAGCGGGGACAGAUAUGAAAAUAAUGUGCUGCUAGAUGGAGACGGGAAUAAGCCAACCUGCACGCUCAAGCAAAAUAUGAACCCGGGCCUGCCUGCCUUCUGCCUGCGUGAACGCGGCGUUGCGGCUACCCGUUGUCGGCGCUUUGGCGCGCACCCCUUGCCGCUCAGCCGACUUGUGUCGAGGGUCAAAACACAAACCAGGGUUCUUUUGCACGGCCAUGCCUCCUCACAGCAGGCACCUGACGAUCCAGGGACCCUCGCCAGCCAAUUUACAUAAAGCGGGCUCCGUGUCUGACGUUGACUUGGCGACACAUGCAAACAGCGACUUAUCUUGAAAUGGAAAUCAGAGCCCUAAUGCAGGGAACCCGGGACGUGCUGCACCGGCUAAUGCUGACAGAGAUGAGUUUUUCCGCUCGUUGCGGUGAGCGAUGCUGCUGGGAGCUCUGCUUGAGUCGAGAGUCAGGUCAAUAAUCAGAGUGCACUGCAGCCAUUGCUCCAAAGCCACACUGAUCAAGAGCGCCGAAGCACCGAGGCUUCAUUUCCUUCAUUUCAGCACCAACUUGUGUCCUUAAUGAUGAGCGAAAGAAAUCAAAACAUUUUUCUGGUAUAUAACUGGGUAAUAGAACUGACUAAGUGUAGCAUGCUUUCUUAAUGAAAAAGAGCUGUUAUAUAACAAUAAUACUGUUAUAACUGAUGUAAUUAAUGAGCUUUGGCUGAUUAACUCUGUAUUUACACAAAACAUUAUGCAAUUGGUUGCAUAUUCAUACUGCAUGUGGCAAAAAGACAUUAUCAAAGGCUAAAUAAAAGCUGGU
rnacentral:lncRNA from 1 species